rnacentral:rRNA from 1 species
UACAGAGGUCCCAAGCGUUGUUCGGAUUCACUGGGCGUAAAGGGUGCGUAGGUGGUGAGGUAAGUCGGAUGUGAAAUCUCCAGGCUCAACCUGGAAAUGGCAUCGGAAACUACCUUGCUCGAGGUUUGGAGGGGGGACUGGAAUACUUGGUGUAGCAGUGAAAUGCGUAGAUAUCAAGUGGAACACCAGUGGCGAAGGCGAGGCCCUGGACAAAACCUGACACUGAGGCACGAAAGCUAGGGGAGCAAACAGG